rnacentral:rRNA from 1 species
UACGUAGGUGGCAAGCGUUGUCCGGAAUUAUUGGGCGUAAAGCGCGCGCAGGUGGUUCCUUAAGUCUGAUGUGAAAGCCCGGGGCUCACCCCCGGAAGGGCAUUGGAAACUGACGGACUCGAGUCCCGAAGAGGAGGGUGGAAUUCCUGGUGUAGCGGUGAAAUGCGUAGAUAUCAGGAGGAACACCGGUGGCGAAGGCGGCCCUCUGGACGGUGACUGACGCUGAGACGCGAAAGCGUGGGGAGCAAACAGG